rnacentral:lncRNA from 1 species
UUACAGUCGAUUCCAUAUGCCCUCCUCCCAUGACUAACUUUCCUUUUCCAUCCAGGAAGCAAUGUCCAGCUGAAGGAAUAGAAUAUGGGCAUCAGAGGCUCCUUGUCUAGACCAACUGUUUAUCCCAGGCACAGUCACCUGAUUUGGACACCUCCUCAACCCAUGGAAGCCCACUAUGGAAAAGAACUCCUCAAGAGGAGCAUGCGAUUUUGCAAAUAUUCAGUCCCUCUGGUAAGUGACUGCAUGGUGUACAAACUUGGUCUUUUUUAUUGUGGUGCUGGUUUAG